rnacentral:lncRNA from 1 species
AGCCAGUGUACCCCUUAUCCAAUUAUUUAUUGUUGUUGUUGUUCGAGUUUUUACAAAAUCUUCUGCGCAAAAUCUGUUCAAAAAUCAAAAAAUCAAAAAAAAAAAAAAAAGAAUUGUGGCGGUGGAAAAAUGAUGUGGGACGAGUGGUACGAUUUGGAACGGGCUGAAGACGAAGAAGAAUCAAACAAAGAUCCAAAGCCUCCUCAUGUAAACUUCGAUUUCUUCGAUGUUUUAUCCAAACCCAGGGUACA